GACAAAAAAAUCAAAAUAAGGAAAUUUAGGUGCGUUUCUGUUAAAUUGUAAUU
rnacentral:tRNA from 2 species